rnacentral:rRNA from 1 species
UACGUAGGGGCCGAGCGUUGUCCGGAGUUAUUGGGCGUAAAGCGCGCGCAGGCGGCUUCGCGCGCCCGCCGUGAAAGCCCCCGGCUUAACCGGGGAGAGUCGGUGGGGACGGCGGAGCUUGAGGGCGGGAGAGGUCGGUGGAAUUCCCGGUGUAGCGGUGAAAUGCGCAGAUAUCGGGAAGAACACCCGUGGCGAAGGCGGCUCUCUGGGACGGUACUGACGCUGAGACGCGAAAGCGUGGGGAGCGAACAGG